AUGUUUGAUGGAGUUGAGCGGAUGCCCUCGGGAGUCAGGCAUGUGACAGGGCUAAGGAGGAAACUAAUUUCGUUGGUGUUCCAUGAUGGUGAUAUGGAAUUCCGUUGUGAUCGGGAUAAGAAGAUCAUGAAAAUCAUGAAAAAUGGAGUGACCAUGAUGAUAGGAGAGAGGACAGCUUCACAUCUUUAUAAGUUGCAAGGGAGCACUAUUGCACGUGGAGCCAUGAAGAGUGGAGCUGCAGGAGUAGCAAUGGAUUCCCACAGUGGCUGCGGGUCUGACCCGUCGGGUAGCUCUCAGUAA
rnacentral:rRNA from 1 species